GUCUAUGGCCACGCCGCCCUGAACGUGCCUGACUUUGUCUGAUCUUGGAAGUUAAGCAGAAUCAGGCUUGGUUAGUACUUGGAUGGGAGACCACCUCAGAAUUCCAGGUGCUGUAGGCA
ensembl:rRNA 5S_rRNA 5S ribosomal RNA